AUGAACGCUAGCGGCAGGCCUAAUACAUGCAAGUCGAACGGUAACAUGAGUAGCAAUACUUGAUGACGAGUGGCGCACGGGUGCGUAACGCGUAUGCAAUCUACCUUUAACCGGUGAAUAGCCCGAAGAAAUUCGGAUUAAUACACCAUAGUAUGAUGAGGAGGCAUCUCCUUAUCAUUAAAGUUCCGACAGUUGAAGAUGAGCAUGCGUGACAUUAGCUAGUUGGUGAGGUAACGGCUCACCAAGGCCACGAUGUCUAGGGGAUCUGAGAGGAUUAACCCCCACACUGGUACUGAGACAGGGACCAGACUCCUACGGGAGGCAGCAGUAAGGAAUAUUGGACAAUGGUGGCAACACUGAUCCAGCCAUGCCGCGUGAAGGAUGAAGGCCCUGUGGGUUGUAAACUUCUUUUGUACGGGAAAAAACCUUCUUACGUGUAAGAAGCUGAUUGUACUGUAAGAAUAAGGAUCGGCUAACUCCGUG
rnacentral:rRNA from 1 species